CCUACCGGUGGCUGCAGUGAGGAAUAUUGGUCAAUGGACGAGAGUCUGAACCAGCCAAGUAGCGUGAAGGAUGACUGCCCUAUGGGUUGUAAACUUCUUUUAUAUGGGAAUAAAAUGUUCCACGUGUGGGUUUUUGUAUGUACCUUAUGAAUAAGGAUCGGCUAACUCCGUGCCAGCAGCCGCGGUAAUACGGAGGAUCCGAGCGUUAUCCGGAUUUAUUGGGUUUAAAGGGAGCGUAGGUGGAUUGUUAAGUCAGUUGUGAAAGUUUGCGGCUCAACCGUAAAAUUGCAGUUGAAACUGGCAGUCUUGAGUACAGUAGAGGUGGGCGGAAUUCGUGGUGUAGCGGUGAAAUGCUUAGAUAUCACGAAGAACUCCGAUUGCGAAGGCAGCUCACUAGACUGCAACUGACACUGAGGCUCGAAAGUGUGGGUAUCAAACAGGAUUAGAUACCCGGGUAGUC
rnacentral:rRNA from 1 species